CCUACGGGGAGCAGCAGUGAGGAAUAUUGGUCAAUGGGCGCGAGCCUGACCCAGCCAAGUAGCGUGAAGGAUGACUGCCCUACGGGUUGUAAACUUCUUUUAUAAAGGAAUAAAGUGAGGCACGUGUGCCUUUUUGUAUGUACUUUAUGAAUAAAGAUCGGCUAACUCCGUGCCAUCAGCCGCGGUAAUACGGAGGGUCCGAGCGUUAUCCGGAUUUAUUGGGUUUAAAGGGAGCGGAGAUGGGUUGUUAAGUCAGUUGUGAAAGUUUGGGGCUCAACCGUGAAAUUGCCAUUGAUACUGGCAGUCUUGAGUACAGUUGAGGUAGGCGGAAUUCGGGGUGUAGCGGUGAAAUGCUUAGAUAUCACGAAGAACUCCGAUUGCGAAGGCAGCUUACUAAACUGCAACUGACAUUGAUGCUCGAAAGUGUGGGUAUCAAACAGGAUUAGAUACCCUUGUAGUC
rnacentral:rRNA from 1 species